CACCUGUAUGUGAAAUAACAAGCGUGGCGUUCUCAUUUAUAGGACAUUUAUUAUUUUCACUUUCAUGCUAGAAUGACUUUUGUUGUGCUAUUUAAAACAACCGUGUUGAUCUCAAUAACACAGGGAUACAUAGAGCUAGCCAGUGCAAGCUUCUGGUUUGGUUGCUGUAAACAUACUAAGGUCCCUACCAUAUGUGAGAAGAAGGAAAUGUUGGUGUUAGCUGAUGCACCACUUUCCUUUCAUGAUGUUAUAGUUUGAACGGUUGCUCAUGGGUUUGUCUCGUGCAGAGACUAGGCGUGGGACUGGUGCUUGGUAGCAGCAGCGAUUCCUUCAGGCAUUUCGAUUCCAGUAACCACAAGUUGUAGGGAAGAUGUAUGUUUCCUACAAAGGGUUUGAGUUUGAGAGGCACAGAAGAAGUUACAAGUGUUGCAGCUUAUUUGGCUUUAUAGUGACAUGUAUCGACAAACAAUUGUUAUAUUCAGUAUGCUAGGGUGUGUCCUAUUUAUCAUGCAGAUUCUAUAUUAGGUGCUCGAUAGAGGUAACAAAAGCUAACAGAGAUCAGAAUAUAUUUUACUUAUAUUUUUGUCUUUCUUUUAGUUCUGUGUAGUCUUUAUUUACCAUGUAAUGAUUAGUUUGAAUGCUUAUAGUGGUGAUACUUUCCCUAUAAAUUUGUUGGGUAGAUUAUAAUUCUGUUACUUGAUUUAGGACAGUAUAUGGUUCUAUGAUACAGGAUUUAGAGGAACAUAUACGGGAUUUAGUUUUUCAGGUCACACUUGUCCCAUAUUCUGUUACUUUCCCUAUUGAUUUUAGCUUGCAAUUGAGUAAGAUGCAGGUUGGGAAUUCUCCCUUGUGUGUCAGAAUCUGAAGUAUUUGACCAUUUGGGUUCACUUCUAUCAUGUGUUGUAUCCUUCCUCUAUUUUAAGAUUUACUAGGCACAUGCAGGUUAGUUGUUGUUUCAAACAUGUCAAUGAAAGGUAAUAAUGUUAAAAUUGGUUCCCCAAGGGCCAAGGUGGUGAUGAUCACUUUGUGAUUCUUUUCCUACUUGUUCUAAAAAUGAUUCUUCUGGGUGAUGUUGAUUUAGGUUUUUGUGGUCGUGUCAUACACCAAUUACCGUCGAGAUGGGUAAUGGUAUGGGAAUGGGGCUCCAAGGAUGUGAAAAUGGUCUGGAAGACAGAGUUAGCAGCGAUAUGUGUCCUCAAGUAAUUUCUUGCCAAAGGUGAUGUGAAGGUUAGCUACUGUGAUCAAGGAAAUAACAUGUAUCUGUGUGGUUUGUUCCUGCUGUUGAUCGGCCAUUGCUGCGUUUAAGGUAUGUUGUGCCCGGUGCUACUUAAUGCUAUAUAAAACCUAUAGCUGUACAUAAAACACCUUGAUAUGCAAAUAACCCAGUUAAAAUAAAUGGGUUGCGCCAUCUAGCAUUACAUGACGACAUGCCAAACACUUUGCCACCUAGGAUAGUCUAUAUUUGUAUUUCAUCCAGUUAUCUCAUAUUUCCAGUAAAAAAACUCUUCGCUUUGGGGUUUUGGAAUAAUCUUCAGGAAGUUGGUGACGAGUUAGUAGAACUUAUAGAAAUGUCGCUUUCAUUAGACAAUGACAUGCCAAAGACGCCAUUGCCUAAGGUAGUCUUUGGACUUAAGCUAUCUCAUAUGUACAAUAACAAGAUUUGUCACUUCAGUUUUUAGAAUAAUCAUUGAUAAGUUGGUUAAGAAUUAGAGCUAAAGUUACGCUCAUGAGUAGUAUUUUUUGUACAAACAUCCAGUUAAUUCUUGAGAUACAAUAGAGACACUAUAUUAGUACUACUUUAGUCAAAUACAUUGUCCACUGGUUGUUGUAGUGAAAUGUCGCUCUAGCUAUUAAUUUACAGAAUUGUAGAAAAUAGCCCCUACGAAAUUACAAAGAGCGAGAAUAAGGAAGCUGGCAAACUUAGUGCUUCAUGGUAUUUCAGUAGAAAGGAAAUAGAAGAGAAUUCUCCGUCUAAGAGGGAUGGCAUUGAUUUAAAGAAAGAGACUUACCUUCGGAAAUCGUAUUGCACUUAUCUACAAGAUUUGGGGAUGCGGCUCAAAGUGUAAUGAGGCGUCAGUGUAGGCCCAAUCUUUUUGUUUGUUGCUUUGAAGAGUGUUGUCAUGUUGUGGAAAGGCAACAUGUGCUUGAUAUGUGGAGUUGGUGUUGAGCCUGGCGGUAGUAGACAGGGAAGGCACCCAUCUCACUUGAUCUUGAGAGUUAAUUCAUAUCUUUUUUUCUUGACCUGAUUGAGUUCCUGUAUAUGCAAGGAUAAAGAAGAAGGGGCAUUGUCGUGGUUGUUGCUUAAGGUGUUGGUCAGGAGCUGAUUGCCGGGACUGAUGACAAGAACGGAGAGCAGGAUGAGUAUGUCAACAUGAUGUUCCUUGAUGUUGGCCUUCUUUUAUAAAGUUCACAUGCAACUCUCCUCCAUGGUUAGAAAAAACUAAUUUAAACAUUUUGUUUCUUUGGUGGUUACUCAUUUCUCUUACCAUUGUUGUAUCAAAACAAUUGUAUUUUCGUUGAUGGCCACUUGGGCUCAUUUUUGAGGAGAAUGAGAUGUGGAAUAAACUACUCUGAAAUGGUUGGUUCCCUUCA